rfam:Lepisosteus oculatus linkage group LG4, whole genome shotgun sequence.
GAUAGCAGCCAUAUCACCCUGCAGCUCACAACUGACAGCCCAGUGAAGCUCAGCAGGUGUGAGCCUGGUCAGUACCUGGAUGGGAGGCCUCCUGGGAAAAACUAUGGUUGCUGCUGGAA